AGUAAAAGUCGUAACAAGGUUUCCGUAGGUGAACCUGCGGAAGGAUCAUUACAUUCAGUAGCCCAGCUACUUGUUUACACCCUUGUCUUUUUGCGUACUUAUCGUUUCCUCGGCGGGCUUGCCUGCCGGUUGGACAACUUUAUAACCUUUUUAAAUCUUCAAUCAGCGUCUGAAUAAUAUACAAUAAUUACAACUUUCAACAACGGAUCUCUUGGUUCUGGCAUCGAUGAAGAACGCAGCGAAAUGCGAUAAGUAGUGUGAAUUGCAGAAUUCAGUGAAUCAUCGAAUCUUUGAACGCACAUUGCGCCCCUUGGUAUUCCAUGGGGCAUGCCUGUUCGAGCGUCAUUUGUACCUUCAAGCUUUGCUUGGUGUUGGGUGCUUGUCUUUUUGUUAAGACUCACCUCAAAGUCAUUGGCAGCCAGUGUUUUGGUAGUAAGCGCAGCACAUUUUGCGUCUUGGUCCCUUAACAGCAGCAUCCAUCAAGCCAUUUUCUCACUUUUGACCUCGGAUCAGGUAGGGAUACCCGCUGAACUUAAGCAUAUCAAUAAGCGGAGGAAAAGAAACCAACAGGGAUUGCCCCAGUAACG
rnacentral:rRNA from 1 species